CCUGCAGGAAAGGACAUCAACCGAGACUCCGCAAGUAGUGGCGAGCGAACGCGGACCAGGCCAGUGGCAAUCAAAGUUAAAGCGGAACGAUCUGGAAAGUUUGGCCGUAGCGGGUGACAGCCCCGUACGCGUAGAUGCUUUGAUUGUCCUAGAGUAGGGCGGGACACGAGAAAUCCUGUCUGAACAUGGGGAGACCACUCUCCAAGCCUAAGUACUCGUGCAUGACCGAUAGCGAACAAGUACCGUGAGGGAAAGGUGAAAAGCACCCCGACAAGGGGAGUGAAAUAGAACCUGAAACCGGAUGCCUACAAACAGUCGGAGCCCGCAAGGGUGACGGCGUACCUUUUGUAUAAUGGGUCAACGACUUAGUGUAACAAGCAAGCUUAAGCCGGUAGGUGUAGGCGAAGCGAAAGCGAGUCUGAAUAGGGCGAUUUAGUUUGUUGCAUUAGACCCGAAACCGAGUGAUCUAGCCAUGAGCAGGUUGAAGGUUGGGUAACACCAACUGGAGGACCGAACCCGCAUCUGUUGCAAUAGAUUGGGAUGACUUGUGGCUAGGGGUGAAAGGCCAAUCAAACUCGRGAAAUAGCUGGUUCUCCGCGAAAUCUAUUUAGGUAGAGCGUCGACCGAAUACCCCCGGGGGUAGAGCACUGGAUGGGCUAUGGGGACUCACCGUCUUACUGAUCCUAACCAAACUCCGAAUACCGGGGAGUACUAGUCGGCAGACACACGGCGGGUGCUAACGUCCGUCGUGAAAAGGGCAACAACCCUAACCUCCAGCUAAGGUCCCCAAGUCAUGGCUAAGUGGGAAAGGAUGUGAGGAUCCCAAAACAACCAGGAUGUUGGCUUAGAAGCAGCCAUCAUUUAAAGAAAGCGUAACAGCUCACUGGUCUAAAUAAGGGUCUUUGCGCCGAAAAUGUAACGGGGCUGAAGCCAUGCACCGAAGCUGAGGAUGUGUAGCAAUACACGUGGUAGCGGAGCGUUCCGUAAGCCUGUGAAGGGAUACCUGUGAGGGGUCCUGGAGGUAUCGGAAGUGCGAAUGUUGACAUGAGUAACGAUAAAGAGGGUGAGAGACCCUCUCGCCGAAAGACCAAGGGUUCCUGCUUAAAGUUAAUCUGAGCAGGGUUAGCCGGCCCCUAAGGCGAGGCAGAAAUGCGUAGUCGAUGGGAACCACGUUAAUAUUCGUGGGCCUGGUGGUAGUGACGGAUUGCUCAACUUGUUCAGACUUAUUGGAUUGUCUGGGCAGGGACGCGGUUCCAGGAAAUAGCUCCACCGUAUAGACCGUACCCGAAACCGACACAGGUGGUCAGGUAGAGUAUACCAAGGCGCUUGAGAGAACUAUGUUGAAGGAACUCGGCAAAUUGCACGCGUAACUUCGGAAGAAGCGUGACCCCAUGAUACGCAAGUAUGGUGGGGUGGCACAGACCAGGGGGUAGCGACUGUUUAUCAAAAACACAGGGCUCUGCGAAGUCGCAAGACGACGUAUAGGGUCUGACGCCUGCCCGGUGCUGGAAGGUUAAGAGGAGAGGUGCAAGCUUUGAAUCGAAGCCCCAGUAAACGGCGGCCGUAACUAUAACGGUCCUAAGGUAGCGAAAUUCCUUGUCGGGUAAGUUCCGACCUGCACGAAUGGCGUAACGACUUCCCCGCUGUCUCCAACAUAGACUCAGUGAAAUUGAAUUCCCCGUGAAGAUGCGGGGUUCCUGCGGUCAGACGGAAAGACCCCGUGCACCUUUACUAUAGCUUUACACUGGCAUUCGUGUCGGCAUGUGUAGGAUAGGUGGUAGGCUUUGAAGCGGGGACGCCAGUUUCCGUGGAGCCAUCCUUGAAAUACCACCCUUAUCGUCAUGGAUGUCUAACCGCGGUCCGUUAUCCGGAUCCGGGACAGUGUAU
rnacentral:rRNA from 1 species